rfam:Salmo salar isolate Sally breed double haploid chromosome ssa28, whole genome shotgun sequence.
CUGGGAACAAUAUCCUGAUGCUGCAUGAGUGUGUCAAGUGGAACUCCAGCAUCAGUGAUUUUGUUGCCAG